UGCGAGCAGUACACGACGUUCGGCGAGUGCCUGAGCUCGGGGGACCCGCACUGCGGCUGGUGCGCCCUGCACCACGUGUGCUCGCCGAGGGACAGCUGCGAGCGGGCGGACGAGCCCAACCGCUUCGCCGCCAGCAUCGGGCAGUGCAUGAGCGUCACCGUGCAGCCCAGCAGCAUCUCCGUGUCCGAGCACAGCCUCCCACUCAGCCUGCUGGUGAGCGACGCGCCGGCCCUGUCGGCCGGGAUCCCCUGCCUCUUCGGAAACCUCACGGAGGUGGAAGGCGGCGUGUCGGGCAGCCAGGUCGUGUGCGUGUCACCG